AGAGCCAAGAAUGACUUGCCGACUUGGCCAUGAGAAUGCUCAAAAACGACGGGUUGCCUGCCGGUCGGCAAGUCGUUCUAGCUCU
rnacentral:pre_miRNA from 1 species